AUCCGCCAUAGAAGAAGUGGGAGUGGAGCAUGGUUCUCUUAUUCUGCUUGGUAUGAUGAGGAGCUUUCACUGAAGACUGGAGUUCCCCGGUUGUUUUUCCUUCAGUCGCCAGGCAAUGGAAUACCUCUCAGAAGGGGUAGCUAGCAAAGGACCAGCGUUCAGCGAGGAGCAUGAGCGGCAGUACGCUGAAGUAGGAGCACUGGCUCUUGUAAAAACUCUGCGGACUAGGGGGCUAGUAGAGAGGGAGAGAUGCCCAGAGAGCAUACAGCUGUUUCGGUCGAGUGAGAGAGAGUUCUCCGGCGGCUGAAGAGUGGUUCUUGAAUCGGACAGAUGAUGUUCCAUCCUCUUUUCUGCCAAUCACCCAAAGAUGAGGACAACACCCAAACUGGCACGUAAGUAGCAUUGCAGUCUAGAGUGCGCGAAUGCAGUGCACAGCAGUGUGAGAGUAUCGCAUUAUGAGCUUCAGUGGUUCGUGGGUUCUUUUUCCAUUGAUGUAUCGGACAUAAUUUAAAGCUUGCUCAACACCCGCAAACAUUAGAUUUUAAGUAGAUUUUCUAUUAUAGCCUAACAAUCCAAAGUGUAAGUGUUUUUUGGUUUGUUUCUUUUGUAGGCUGCUGGCUUUGUUUUGUUUUUGUAGACUGGUUUAGAAUGUUCCAAUUCUAUUUUGGGGACAUUUUGUUAGAUUUAUGAAAUUCUCGUUAUUUCUCAGCAGAAGUAAUGUUUGAUCUUUAGCCCAAACAAUGCUCUCAAUAAUUUUCAAGAUUGUUUCAUUUGGAUAUGAACUAUUCUGGCGAACUUGCUGAGAUUAGGCUGUCAAUCAUAAAUAGGCCUAUUGAAACAGGGUUGUUCCAAAGUAAAUGUUUAAAAUAUAUUUAUACAUUUCUGACUCUAUACCUACAAUACUGAUUUCGAGUUUGGAGUUAAUAAAAAAUAUACCAAAUUAGAGAAAAAUCAUACAAAUAUUGUUUUGCUUAAUGCUAAGCAAGUCUAAGAAUAUUAGUUUCAAAAUGGCACUUUUUAACCGUCCACUCCCUGUCCCAUUGGUAUUUCAUAGGCUAUAUGUAUUGAGUGCUCAGAAGGUAAUAUUUUCUGUGGUGUACUGCUCUCCAAUCACUGGCACGGCCCCUAGUGGACAAUAAUAUGAAGCUUGGAGAUUCAUAAUUCUAUAUAUUUUCUUACCUGAAGUCUCUCUCUCUUCCGCUCUCUCUCUCGCUGAGAAAAGGAAGGAUCUGUUGAAAAAGUAAACCAAUUUAUUAAAUAAACAUAUUACAUCCAAUUAGUAAUAUCACGGCUGGUUUGGUUAUGUUGGAUUAUAUUGAGUAAAUAUUGAUUUUUAAGGAGAAAGUGUGAUGGGAGAUUGCGUAAUGAGUUAGGCUAUAGGCCUAAGGGUUAUUAUGGCAGGCUUGUUUUAUUAUCGGGUGAGGUGUCAGUUUUGAAAGGGAGCAAUAGUGACUACAUUUUUGAGAACGGAAGGCUUUACAAUCUAUAACAGAUUCCCUCUUUAAGACAUUUUCACACUCAUUGUGUUCAAGAGUUAAUAGGGAUGGGCCUGAAUUUAAUGUUUGCGCUUAAUAUAAAUGACAAAGUUAAUUUGCCAUGAAUUGCAGUGCUUUUCUUUUUUAGUUUAUACAUAAAUAAAAUACCCUAUACAUUUGUUAUCAUGUCUUUUGCUCCGUCCAGCCAUCAUUGCAAAUAUGGUUUAUAUGCAGCAAACAGAAGUAAAGGUUGGUUUGGUCUCAAGAGUGGUCAAAUGAGGUUUGCCCGCAAUUCUGUUAGUUGUCGGUUUGCUAAUUCCAAAUGCAGGGAAACUCCUGUUAAGUAUUCUUCAUGAUGUUGCAGACUCCCGCUGUUUCUUUCACAUUAUCAUAAGCAGAUUACAAAUAGCGGGGAACACACCCAUAUGCAGAUAGAGGAGAGGGCUAUUUCCAACUUGCAUUAUAAUGGUCUGCUCUGCUGUAGCCUAGGCCUACCUUAUCGCCACAUCUCACCCAAUUACUCAAAUGUUAAACUUUUCAAUAUGGUGGUAAUAAACGAAUCAAAUCAAAUGUAUUUAUAUAGCCCUUCGUACAUCAGCUGAUAUCUCAAAGUGCUGUACAGAAACCCAGCCUAAAACCCCAAGCAGCAAGCAAUGCAGGUGUAGAAGCACAUAAACGAUGUAUCAAUUUCUAUAUAAAUUUAAAUAAGUAGUGAUGUUUGGUUUGAUGAAAUAUACAAAAGAUAAUAUAAUUAUUUUAUUUAAAAUAUAAUAUAAUUGAAUAUUAUAGGUUAAGCAUUGUAGAUGUAUAUCACUGAAAUGUUUAAGAUUUUGUAAGCACACGCUCACAAGAAUGUGAUCUAAAAAUACAGUCUAUACAGUGUCCAGAUUCUCGAUACAUUUAUGUAUUGGCCUAUCUGAUGCUUUUCCAGGAUCUACAGCAUCAUUCAUAGCCAAAUGUUCUACCAUAAGAGGGAAUGUAGCCUACAAAUGAAAAGGCAUUUAUCAGUAUACUAAACAUGUAGUUGGUAGCUUAUACAAGUUAUAUUAUUAUAGUUCACAACAGAAUAUAUAAGUGUAUUAGGCUAUAACAGUGUUCCAUGAAACCUUUUAGGUUCAUAAAUGUGUUUUUGCUAUUGUCUAUUUCGCCAGCAGACGGCGCUGAAGGCAUGUAACAACGUGGCUUCAUCUGUCUGUGUUGCUCACGCCUAACCUUUUGGAUAUAGCCUAUGUGUGAAUUUAUAUAUGUAUAAACACGUGCUUUUACGAGAUACAUAGCGGCUUGUUACUGUAUUUUGCUUCUCAUAUUCUAUCACCUUUCAUAGCUCACAUUUACA
ensembl:lncRNA